UAGGGAAUCUUCCGCAAUGGGCGAAAGCCUGACGGAGCAACGCCGCGUGAGUGAUGAAGGUCUUCGGAUCGUAAAACUCUAUUAUUAGGGAAGAACAAAUGUGUAAGUAACUAUGCACGUCUUGACGGUACCUAAUCAGAAAGCCACGGCUAACUACGUGCCAGCAGCCGCGGUAAUACGUAGGUGGCAAGCGUUAUCCGGAAUUAUUGGGCGUAAAGCGCGCGUAGGCGGUUUUUUAAGUCUGAUGUGAAAGCCCACGGCUCAACCGUGGAGGGUCAUUGGAAACUGGAAAACUUGAGUGCAGAAGAGGAAAGUGGAAUUCCAUGUGUAGCGGUGAAAUGCGCAGAGAUAUGGAGGAACACCAGUGGCGAAGGCGACUUUCUGGUCUGUAACUGACGCUGAUGUGCGAAAGCGUGGGGAUCAAACAGG
rnacentral:rRNA from 2 species